rnacentral:rRNA from 1 species
GUGAGGAAUUUUCCGCAAUGGGCGAAAGCCUGACGGAGCAAUGCCGCGUGAAGGAUGAAGGCCUAUGGGUUGUAAACUUCUUUUCUCAGAAAAGAAUUAUGACGGUAUCUGAGGAAUAAGCAUCGGCUAACUCUGUGCCAGCAGCCGCGGUAAGACAGAGGAUGCAAGCGUUAUCCGGAAUGAUUGGGCGUAAAGCGUCUGUAGGUUGUUUAAAAAGUAUUCUGUCAAAGAUUAGGGCUUAACCCUAGAUAGGCAGAAUAAACUUUUAAGCUAGAGUUUGGUAGAGGCAGAGGGAAUUCCCGGUGGAGCGGUGAAAUGCGUAGAUAUCGGGAGGAACACCAAAGGCGAAGGCACUCUGCUGGGCCAAUACUAACACUGAGAGACGAAAGCGAGGGGAGCCAAUGGGAUUAGAUACCCCAGUAGUCC